rnacentral:pre_miRNA from 1 species
CAUAUACUCCCUCCGUCCGGAAAUACUUGUCAUCAAAAUAAACAAAAGGGGAUGUAUCUAGAUGUAUUUUAGUUCUACAUACAUCCCUUUUUAUCCAUUUUGAUGACAAGUAUUUUCGGACGGAGGGAGUACUAG